GGAGGGUGCAAGCGUUAUCCGGAUUCGCUGGGUUUAAAGGGUGCGUAGGUGGGCAGGUAAGUCAGUGGUGAAAUCUCCGGGCUUAACCCGGAAACUGCCAUUGAUACUAUCUGUCUUGAAUAUCGUGGAGGUGAGCGGAAUAUGUCAUGUAGCGGUGAAAUGCUUAGAUAUGACAUAGAACACCAAUUGCGAAGGCAGCUCACUACGCGAAUAUUGACACUGAGGCACGAAAGCGUGGGGAUCAAACAGGAUUAGAUACCCUGGUAGUCCACGCCCUAAACGAUGGAUACUCGACAUACGCGAUACACAGUGUGUGUCUGAGCGAAAGCAUUAAGUAUCCCACCUGGGAAGUACGACCGCAAGGUUG
rnacentral:rRNA from 1 species